rnacentral:lncRNA from 1 species
UCCCCCUCUCUCGCUUCCUCCUCUCCAGUUCCACGCCAGAAAACACUUGCAGAUUAAAAACACUGUUUAAAAAAAACACAGCUCGGUCAUUAAAAUGCUUACAAACAAUAGGCACCAUUCAAAUACACAGCUCAAGUUAUUAAAACAUUUAUAAAACUAAAAAAAACCUUAAAACACUAAAACACCAGCGAGUGGCUAAUAUAUUUAAGCGUUUAGAACCAAAAACUCAUUAAAUGUGAAAAUUGUUACAUUUAAAUUAAAUCUGACAGCUGUGCCAGAAAUUCAGUUUACAAAACAGUGAAAAUGUUACAAGCAUCACUGGAGAGCAUUAGUAUGUUUCUAUAUACUAUAAUUCUAUAUAUACACACUACUGAAUAAAAAAAAAAUAAAAAAAAAUAAAAAAAAAAAAACUUUAUAAAUAAAAUGUAAGCUGAAUUAAGUUAACUUUAACUUUAAAAAUAAAAGUAACAUGUAAUAGUCUUUUUUAAAAACAUCACUAUUUAUAGUAAGGUGGGACGAUGCAAUAACUGGGAAUUAAAAAUGGUCUAUAGACGAUCUUAUGAGGUUUAAAUUCCCUUUUUGUUUUAGUAACUUAAUUCGUUCAAGGCGCGUCCUACUUACUACAUACAAAACUUAUAUACACUUAUCAAUAAAAACCUUAGUUGCGUUUUAAACGCCAAACUUCCGAACCUAAGGCAAGUCUCAUCAAAGAAGAAAUAAGAACAACACAAAACUAGCUGCGAUGCGCUACACAACACAGCACGCACGUGCGUUGUGUUUAUGAUGAAUACAGUCAAUAAAUAAAGUAUAUGAACAGGAGAGAGCAGCUGGUUAUCACACACUUCCGUGAACCGCUAGCGUUAGCUCCCAGCUACACAAAAACACACAAAUACCUCUAACAUGGUCUGUCUACCGCUUUUCUAACACGCUUAACACAGAGAUACGCUCUAUAAAAACACGCCUUACUUUUCCGGACGGCGUUUAACGGGUUUAAAUCACAUUUAGAGUGAAACCACGGAGAUGUGUUAGCUUGCGUUAGCUGUGAAUGUCGCGCUGGCUUUAGUCCACCAUCUGCCUUUAGUCUCACAAAACUACCACAAAUAAAGCCCUGGUCGUCAUUUAAAACCCCAGGGCCACAUGUCCUGAGCAGGCCGCUCAUCGCUAAUGAAUCUGCCUGGGUUAUGACAAACAUUUAUAUUUAUAAACUAUGUUUUGUGGCGAACGGUGAGAGCUGAAGCGUUCUAAAGUCCCUAAUUAUAUUUACAUCAGUGGAAAAAACGGCGAAAAAAAGCUCUUUCCCCCACUCCUCCCACUCAAAGAAACGCGUGUGUAUAUUAAAUAUGAAAUAAAAAGCGGAACUCACCCGGAGCUGAGUGGAGCUGUGUGUUACGAAGUGUUUUUGAGCUGAUCUUUUGGCGUGGUGCUCCUGCGCUCAGACGGUGUCAGUGAGAAAUAAUGUGACAGACCAUCAGCGCUAUUUCACAGCUCCAGGACAGCAGCAGGCCAGAGCAGCCGAGCACAGAGCACCGUGAGGCGUCCACGCACCCCAAUAAUGAAGAAGAAAAUGAGCUGCACUUAAGGCUCUCAAUCUCAAAUUAAACAUAUAUGAGGCCCACUUCACAAUCUAAUAAGUGAAAUCCUUCGGGAAAACAAUGAAAACAUCAACUGGUAAGUCAUUGCCAUUUCUACACAAUUGUUAACUUACAUUGCAACUUAAUCAGGCACUAAUAAUUAGGCUAAAUUUAAAUACAAUAGAAAUACU